rnacentral:rRNA from 1 species
CCUACGGGUGGCAGCAGUGGGGAAUAUUGGACAAUGGGGGCAACUCUGAUGCAGCAACGCCGCGUGAAGGAAGACGGUUUUCGGAGUGUAAACUUCUGUUCUUAGUGAAGUAUAAUGACGGUAGCUAAGGAGCAAGCCACGGCUAACUACGUGCCAGCAGCCGCGGUAAUACGUAGGUGGCAAGCGUUUUCCGGAAUUUCUGGGUGUAAAGGGAGCGCAGGCGGGAAGCGAAGUCAGCUGUGAAAACUACGGGCUUAACUUGUAGACUGCAGUUGAAACUGGUUUUCUUGAGUGAAGUAGAGGUAGGCGGAAUUCAGGGUGUAGCGGUGAAAUGCGUAGAUAUUAGGAGGAACACCGGUGGUGAAGGCGGCCAACUGGGCUUUAACUGACGCUGAGGCUCGAAAGUGUGGGGAGCAAACAGGAUUAGAUACCCCGGUAGUC